CAAUAAUCUUUGGGCCACUUCCUUUCUGUUCGCACAUUCGGAAAUUUACUUAAUUGCGACUAGUGGAGCCUCAAAUAUGGAUCUGCUUUAGCCUCUGCCUUUCACUUAGGCGAGGGAAGGCCGACGUGGAACAGACUCACUCAGUGAUGAAAUGGGCGUGGUCUCGCCUAUGGCCGCCUCUUCGUCGUUGGAGUCCCGUCCGUCGUGAUGGUUACGCCGAUGCUUGGCCGUGUUUGGAAAAUCUGGCCCGCGAAUAUCUGGCUUGAUCUGGCCAGCGUCCUCCGGCGCUGGAUUCAGGCGUUGUGUGCCACCGAAUGGCUGCGGCUGUUCUAAUGGAGUACCCCCUUUCUUAUUGUUUUAAACGCCGCACGACGGUGUGUUAUUGUUUUUUGUAUUAUUGUUCUUGUGUACUGUUUCUUUUUGCACUACGUUAGUAGUAAAUGAAUUUUCUUUGCAAUAAAAUAAUAAAGAAAGCCCGUCGCGAAUAAA